CGUACCGACCCGCCUACCAGG
rnacentral:miRNA from 1 species